rnacentral:rRNA from 1 species
UGGGGAAUAUUGCGCAAUGGGGGGAGCCCUGACGCAGCCAUGCCGCGUGAAUGAAGAAGGCCUUAGGGUUGUAAAGUUCUUUCGGUAUUGAGGAAGGUUGAUGUGUUAAUAGCACAUCAAAUUGACGUUAAAUACAGAAGAAGCACCGGCUAACUCCGUGCCAGCAGCCGCGGUAAUACGGAGGGUGCGAGCGUUAAUCGGAAUAACUGGGCGUAAAGGGCACGCAGGCGGUUAUUUAAGUGAGGUGUGAAAGCCCCGGGCUUAACCUGGGAAUUGCAUUUCAGACUGGGUAACUAGAGUACUUUAGGGAGGGGUAGAAUUCCACGUGUAGCGGUGAAAUGCGUAGAGAUGUGGAGGAAUACCGAAGGCGAAGGCAGCCCCUUGGGAAUGUACUGACGCUCAUGUGCGAAAGCGUGGGGAGCAAACAGGAUUAGAUACCCUGGUAGUCCACGCUGUAAACGCUGUCGAUUUGGGGGUUGGGGUUUAACUCUGGCGCCCGUAGCUAACGUGAUAAAUCGACCGCCUGGGGAGUACGGCCGCAAGGUUA